rnacentral:rRNA from 1 species
AGGACGAACGCUGGCGGCGCGCUUAACACAUGCAAGUCGAGCGGAAAGGCCCUUCGGGGUACUCGAGCGGCGAACGGGUGAGUAACACGUGAGUAAUCUGCCCCUAGCUCUGGGAUAGCUCCGGGAAACCGGGAUUAAUACCGGAUACGACCACUACGGACAUCUGUGGUGGUGGAAAGAACUUCGGCUAGGGAUGAGCUCGCGGCCUAUCAGCUUGUUGGUGGGGUAACGGCCUACCAAGGCGACGACGGGUAGCCGGCCUGAGAGGGCGACCGGCCACACUGGGACUGAGACACGGCCCAGACUCCUACGGGAGGCAGCAGUGGGGAAUAUUGCGCAAUGGGCGAAAGCCUGACGCAGCGACGCCGCGUGGGGGAUGAAGGCCUUCGGGUUGUAAACCCCUUUCAGCAGGGACGAAGCGAAAGUGACGGUACCUGCAGAAGAAGCGCCGGCUAACUACGUGCCAGCAGCCGC